rnacentral:lncRNA from 1 species
UUUAGUAUUGUGGAUUCAUUCUUGUGGUGACAAUCAUACUUCAAGAAAACUUGAAGGAAGGCUAAAGGAGUUCACAACAACUCAAGGACAAUCAUGAAAAGGAGGUUCAUCAAAUUCCACAUAUGGAUUCAGGUUAGCUUCCGCUCAUGUAGUUGUAAUUCCAAAUUAUUCAAUAUGAAGAUUAUUGUCUUUAGUAGGAAUCAUAAUCCUAACAUAAGAUUCUGGUAACUACGCAGAAUGAGGCAGUAGCUUCAAUAAUGGGGACGGU